rnacentral:rRNA from 1 species
UACGUAGGGACCAAGCGUUGUUCGGAUUUACUGGGCGUAAAGGGCGCGUAGGCGGCAUGACAAGUCACUUGUGAAAUCUCUGAGCUUAACUCAGAACGGCCAAGUGAUACUGUCGCGCUAGAGUGCAGAAAGGGCAAUCGGAAUUCUUGGUGUAGCGGUGAAAUGCGUAGAUAUCAAGAGGAACACCUGAGGCGAAGGCGGGUUGCUAGGCUGACACUGACGCUGAGGCGCGAAAGCCAGGGGAGCAAACGGG